GACGAACGCUGGCGGCGUGCCUAAUACAUGCAAGUUGAGCGAUGAAGAUUGGUGCUUGCACCAAUUUGAAGAGCAGCGAACGGGUGAGUAACGCGUGGGGAAUCUGCCUUUGAGCGGGGGACAACAUUUGGAAACGAAUGCUAAUACCGCAUAACAACUUUAAACAUAAGUUUUAAGUUUGAAAGAUGCAAUUGCAUCACUCAAAGAUGAUCCCGCGUUGUAUUAGCUAGUUGGUGAGGUAAAGGCUCACCAAGGCGAUGAUACAUAGCCGACCUGAGAGGGUGAUCGGCCACAUUGGGACUGAGACACGGCCCAAACUCCUACGGGAGGCAGCAGUAGGGAAUCUUCGGCAAUGGACGAAAGUCUGGCCGAGCAACGCCGCGUGAGUGAAGAAGGUUUUCGGAUCGUAAAACUCUGUUGGUAGAGAAGAACGUUGGUGAGAGUGGUAAGCUCAUCAAGUGACGGUAACUACCCAGAAAGGGACGGCUAACUACGUG
rnacentral:rRNA from 1 species